CCCCCCUUUUCCCCACCCUUGGCCGCCCCUUCCCCUUGCAGCCACCCUCCACUACUUCCUCCUCCCUCUAGAUCUCCCCCCACGCAGCAAGGAUCGAGAAGAGGAGGAGCAAGAUGGAUUGAAGAGGAAGAGAGGAUCAAGGAGAUGUUCUACCCCCAUCUCUUGCAGAUUUUCUUGGGGAAACCCUAGGUAAGGAUAGGAUCCUUGUUCCUCCCUAUAAUUAUAUGCUUUUGGAGGUUGUGGAUCAUGUGGAUUGAAGGAUUAGAGGUUGGAUUAGAUGUGGGGUUAGGUUUUGAUCUCGAAUUUAAUUUCUGCAGAAUGGCAGAUUCGACAGUUUCUGUUCAUGUCAGUUUUCCGUGGUCUUAGUGGCCUCAAAAAAAAUAAAAAGUCUAUAUAUGAGUCGUAGAUAAUUUGUAGAUCUUUCCGUGGCCACGAAGAACAACUCAAUCGGACAUCAUAACAGAAAGUUAUUGCAGUUUGAUUAUAGCAGUUUUUCAGUCUCAUAAUUCUGUUCAGAAUCUGUUCUCUUAAGAGUUAGGCAAUUUUAUCAACAGAAUUAAACUGUGGGUUGGUAAAAGAAGUUGUAGAUAAUUUCAUAAGCUUUCCAGAUUGUUAAAGAGUGUAUUCAUAUGAUUUAUCAAACUCCAGUUAUGUUUGUUUUACUGUGGCUGUUCCUGUUUGCCUGACAAAAAUGAGCGGGUCUGUUCACUGGUAGGUUUCAUCUAGUAAAUGGCCGAAUUGACUCUUCCAACUGUGGAGACUUUUGUAGAGGGAUAAAAGUUCUUACUGCCAGCAGAAUUUCAUAAUUUUUGGUUCAGUAGUUUGGGAGAUAUCGAAUUUUGAAGUUAACUAGGCUGCUGUCUAAAACAGAUUCAGUCAGUUAUCUUGUCAGAUGUUUUAGAAUAUAUUCAUGGCAGAAUUUAAUUAUCCAUUGAAUACCGAAGUUGUAGAUUGUUUUGUGUAGAUACUCUUAGAGUAUUUGUUUGAUAUCACUAAUGUUUUAAUUUUAAAGAUACAAAAUUAACAAACAGCGCUGCUGCUGUAUAGCAUGUGGUUCAGGGUGGGAGUCUUCCCACUAGGUCUUGGUUUCAAGUGUAGGAGUGUUUUGUUGAUUGUUGGAAAAUGUUUGUGAAAUAUUUGUACUAAGUUUUAUGCCCGCUAGCAGGUGGCUACACUCCAGAUCAUGCCUAGUACAUUUUCUUCUUUGAUGAAGGCAAGUGAAUGUAGCGGUGAUUGCUUCCGUUCUGACCUGUUAUUUCUAUUGCCUACACUCUAAUAUUCAGAAGUAUUGGAUUCUUUCAUAAUUGGACUCUAUGGUGAUACUUUACUUGCUUGCAUUAUACUGAUGCUCAAUCAUAUAUUGAUGAUGAUUAUGAUUCGAGUAUGAUUCAUGAGAUUAAUUCACACCCCUGAAGGUAAAUGAAGUAUUAUUUGAGGUUGAUAUUGUAUCUGAAGGUAAAUGAAGUAUUAUUUGAGGUUGGUAUUGUAUCUGAAGGUAAAUAAAGUAUUAUUUGAGGUUUGUAUUGUAUCUGAAGGAAGUGAAGAUUAUUGAUAAAUGCAGCAUGCCAUAUACAUUGCAUGACUCAUUUGCAUCUGAAGUUUUGUCGUGACCUAUGGUCCGACCGUACCGGUACAAUUUAGCAUCGUACGUUGCCCGAGGAGGGGUACGAUGCGGCUUCAUACCCUUAGAGGUAUGAAGGCAGAGGACAUAUGCAUUGCAUUCAUAUGCAUUCAUUGAAGUGAUAUUUGCAGAUGAUGUGGUUUUAUACUCUCAGAGGUAUGAAGAUAGAGUACCUACACAUUGCAUUCCUAUGCAUACGUUGAAGUGAUAUUUGCAGGUAUUGUUGACACAAGGAAGUGUUAUAGAACCUAUUGUGGUUAUUCGAGGAAAUGAGAUGGUAUUGUUUAUAGUGGGACUACUGAGUUCCAUAUCCACAAGUAUUUCUGAUUUUAAUUGUGACUCUUUUAAAAUGUUGAUGAAUUCAAUUUGUGGUUUAAAUAUCUCGUCAAAAUUAUUCGCUUGCUGAGAUGUUUCAUCUCACUCUUGCAUUACUCAAUGCAGGUGCUUGUUGCUCAUCAAGGGAAGUGGGAAGUAGCAGCACAUCCACCUUCACUCUUAUAAUAACGCUGCUUAGGCGCAGUCAUGAUUUAACUAGAAGCUUCUUGUCAAAGGAUGUUUGUUUCUAACUAGUUGUGCGCACUGGAUAAUUUAGCUCAUGCCGUUAUGGUUGUCUUCCCAUUGCUAGCAGACUAUUAAUGUCUAUUAUGUUUUCUUAUCAUGAUAUCUAUUUAUACUUUGUUGCUUCCCCGUUUAUGCCAUUUUCAAAGGAGAUGCUGUCGAAAUUUUAUAUACGAAUGUUAGAUGUGUAGUUUAGUAGCAUUCUAGGGUGUUUGUGGAUCCCGGGGUGUUACAGUUGGUAUCAAAGCAUAGGCUUUAGAUUCUUGGCAAUUUGAAGAUAAAUUUGACACACUUGCACAUAUAGGAAGGGUAUGGGUACAAAUAUCUUUGAUAUAUAUUAAUGUAUUUGAAGUGCAGAUGACAAUAAUUUCACCCCUCCCUAUUGCUUUAUGGUGAUGUGGUAAGUUGUUUAUGACCUAAUGCUAGAUAUAAUUUAUCUCUAAAUCUUUAUAUUGUUUUAUUAAUGCGUUUGAUAUCGCUAGUCUUUUGUGAUAUUGACGUUGUUAUUAUGCUUGUGAUAUACAAGUAUGCCUAUGUUGUUUUCACCAUGUUUUUCAUGGUUGAGUUUUAUUACAAUAAUAUUGUUAUAUAUGCUUGAUUGAGGAUGUAUCUAAGAGGAGUGUGAAUUGUGUGUUUUGGGUUACAAGGCAACCAUCAAUUUGAAUUUUAGUUGUGGAGCGGUUGGUGGAUAGUUCCAACUAUCUUUGCAAAGAAUGAUUGUUUAUGACGAGAAACUGGUUCUGAAAGAAAUGAAUAUUGGUACUUUAUAUGGAUUUUUGGGGGAAGUCUUUUCAUAGCCAUAAUGGCUUACAUGUCUCUCUCCUAUUGUGUGUUUUAGUUGCCACAAAGCCUAGAUGUAGUUUAAAGUGGUUGCCUGUUAGUCAUACUAAUUGUAGAAUAAAUCUUUGAUUCUCUUGAUCCAUUGAUUAUGUAUUAAUACAUUGAGGAUCUGAUGGUUCCCUUUCCGAUGCAUGCUUGUGGAGCC
rnacentral:lncRNA from 1 species